GCUCGCGUAGCUCAGUUGGUUAGAGCACCAAUCUUAUAAGUUGGGGGCCCCUGGUUCGAGUCCAGGCGCGAGCA
rnacentral:tRNA from 1 species